GCUGCUUUUGGGAUAAGAGACAGAGGUGGAGAGAUGGGGGUGGAUGUGUAGCACUCUGCCGCCGACCGGCAGGAUCAAUGAAGGGCACUUAUGAAGAGAAAGCUCACUGCUUGGAAGAUUUACAAUGAAUGGCUCGGCCUUUAUUUUUUAAAUUCUUCGGCUUUUUUCGUCCCCGUGGCUUCAUUUUCCCUCUCGGAGUGGAUUCUGUCCCUCCGUUCGCCACCGCUGCUGUUUGACUUUUAGCAAACAAGCUGCACAAACUGAGUUAUUGGACUUGCUCCUAAAUGAGACAAUAAAAAAACCUCAGCCGUGGAUUUAUUGUGCUGUUGGGCUCUGUAGGUGUUUCGGUGUUUCGGUAAUCAAAAAAAUAAAAGCAAUGAUGUUCGGAUUCAAACGUCUUGGCGAGGAAAAUGGAGCCUUUGUCUGACUCUGUUUGAUUAUUUCUCCAGUAAUGACUGCACUUGUGUCAAUAAAGUCUGGAGUUUUCUGCAGUUUCUUCAGCCGACACCCAAAAUAAUUUUUCCACUGCCAGCAAACAACCACGAAAGCUGCCCACUGGAUUCCCAGAGAGUCUGGCAGCGUUUAAUUUUGACCUCUGACCUUAGGGCUGGUUUGGGCAGACUGUGGGAACAUGGUGAAAUGCUGAUUUUAGGGUCUAGCUCUUUAGCUGCCAUAACGAGCUCCCAGCGGGGUGUGGGGGGGCAGAGGAAGGAGAGAGGUAGCAGGAAGCAGAGGGGAAUAAGAUUGCAGGUUGUUGAGAAACCAAGCAGGAACAUCUGGAGACCUGCAGUUCCUCUAAUGUCCACUUGAGGCUCCAACAAUGUCCCCACACCAUCCGCCCGGCGACAGGUGACGGGCCAUCAACCACGCGACAGACGGACGGCGACAGAAGCGACGCGACCGCUGUAGCUGUUCACGCCGCUGGUGUUUGUGCGGACACGAGGAGUGUGUGUGUUCACACGCUCCAGGUUGACCCCCCCCAAAAACACACACACCUGAAAAAACAAACAAACAAACAAACAAACAGGAAAACAGAUGAAGCCUGUUAAAACACUCCAAACACCUCCUCUGUGCUUCUGCUGCCCUAAAAAUAACACACACACACACACACACACGCACACACACGCGCACACACGCGCACACACGCAAACACGCAAACAAAACACCUAAACAAACAAAAGGUACAGCACAAAGCAAUUUGGACACCCUGAAUCGUAUAAACAGCGCUAUAAGGUAGGCUUAAAACACACCUGCUGCAAUCCUGUAUACAACAGACACACACACACACACACACACACACACACACACACACACACACACACAGAAAAAAUUACAAUGCUGACACAAACACUUGCGUAAACAGCUUCCAGCUCUGCAGUAGCACAUUAAGAAACUCAGAUCCAAACAGCUGUACACACACUUUUUUAAAGUCACUUUACCACACACAUACACACACACGCACACACACAUGCACACACACACGCUCUCUCUCUGCUGAGCAGGUGAGUGGUUCGUGCUUUGCUCAAGGACACUUCAAAUAGACACUCAGCAGCUCCUCUGAUCAGACGUGAGAGCAGCGCUGCAGAACAAAUGGAGAAAGAAGUAGUGUGAGGCUCAAACCUACACACACACACACACACACACACACACACACACACACACACACACACACACACAUACACACUGUCAUCUGACCUGUUAAACCUAUAAAACACUGAAGUUCGUGUUGCUUUUGUUCACUUUAAUCCAAACUAAAUGACAGGAUUGAAUUCCACAGGUGAAAAGCUGCUUUAUGAUAUUCUGCUGUUACCUGCACGUUUAGUCUGAGCUGUAUUUUAUACUUCUAAUCUGACUUAAUGUUCAGUGGCUGCCUGACCGCUGCAGGAAACCCAAAUUGUUCUGUUCGUUCCUUCUUCCUGUCCGUAAGUUCUUUUCACAUUAAAUGUCUUGUAUUUCGAGGACAUUUAAUCUGAAAGGAACUUACUGCAUAGUCCAGGAUUCACAUAAAAUCUUAUCUCUGUGUUUUACUACGUAUGAAAUGAGUGCUUAACAUUGUUUUUGUUUAUAUUGUAAAG